UACGUAGGGUGCAAGCGUUAAUCGGAAUUACUGGGCGUAAAGCGUGCGCAGGCGGUUUUGUAAGUCUGACGUGAAAUCCCCGGGCUUAACCUGGGAAUUGCGCUGGAGACUGCAAGGCUGGAGUCUGGCAGAGGGGGGUAGAAUUCCACGUGUAGCAGUGAAAUGCGUAGAGAUGUGGAGGAACACCGAUGGCGAAGGCAGCCCCCUGGGUCAAGACUGACGCUCAUGCACGAAAGCGUGGGGAGCAAACAGG
rnacentral:rRNA from 1 species